rnacentral:rRNA from 1 species
GACGAACGCUGGCGGCGUGCCUAAUACAUGCAAGUAGAACGCACAGUUUAUACCGUAGCUUGCUACACCAUAGACUGUGAGUUGCGAACGGGUGAGUAACGCGUAGGUAACCUGCCUGGUAGCGGGGGAUAACUAUUGGAAACGAUAGCUAAUACCGCAUAAUAUUAAUUAUUGCAUGAUAAUUGAUUGAAAGAUGCAACUGCAUCACUACCAGAUGGACCUGCGUUGUAUUAGCUAGUAGGUGAGGUAACGGCUCACCUAGGCGACGAUACAUAGCCGACCUGAGAGGGUGAUCAGCCACACUGGGACUGAGACACGGCCCAGACUCCUACGGGAGGCAGCAGUAGGGAAUCUUCGGCAAUGGACGAAAGUCUGACCGAGCAACGCCGCGUGAGUGAAGAAGGUUUUCGGAUCGUAAAGCUCUGUUGUAAGAGAAGAACGGGUGUGAGAGUGGAAAGUUCACACUGUGACGGUAUCUUACCAGAAAGGGACGGCUAACUACGUG